rnacentral:rRNA from 1 species
UCCUCUGACGUUAGCGGCGGACGGGUGAGAUAACACGUGGAUAACCUACCUAUAAGACUGGGAUAACUUCGGGAAACCGGAGCUAAUACCGGAUAAUAUAUUGAACCGCAUGGUUCAAUAGUGAAAGACGGUUUUGCUGUCACUUAUAGAUGGAUCCGCGCCGCAUUAGCUAGUUGGUAGGGUAACGGCUUACCAAGGCGACGAUGCGUAGCCGACCUGAGAGGGUGAUCGGCCACACUGGAACUGAGACACGGUCCAGACUCCUACGGGAGGCAGCAGUAGGGAAUCUUCCGCAAUGGGCGAAAGCCUGACGGAGCAACGCCGCGUGAGUGAUGAAGGUCUUCGGAUCGUAAAACUCUGUUAUUAGGGAAGAACAAAUGUGUAAGUAACUACGCACGUCUUGACGGUACCUAAUCAGAAAGCCACGGCUAACUGCGUGCCAGCAGCCGCGGUAAUACGUAGGUGGCAAGCGUUAUCCGGAAUUAUUGGGCGUAAAGCGCGCGUAGGCGGUUUUUUAAGUCUGAUGUGAAAGCCCACG